CAUUAUUGGAAUUUCAAUCAGCAUUGCAUUAAAUCUAUAUAGUAGUUUUGGAAGUAUGGCCAUUUUCACUAUAUUGGUUCUUCCUACCCAGGAACAAGAUGAAGACCCUGCAUCUGAGGGAGGUGAAGUCAGAGGCUCAAGGUUGCACAACCAGUACCUAAAACGAGCCCUUCGACUCUAAGCCCUUGACCCUGGCCAGGAGUGGGAGAAAGUUCACAGAACCAACCUCUCUAGGCACAGUCACUGAGAGAUGAGCAGGCCUCUUCUACCACACUCUCCUGCUAUGAUUUACUGUACUGACACAAGUCCGAAGCAACAGAGCCAAGUGACCAUGGACUGAACCCUAUGAAGUCGUGAGCCGAAAUAAAUCUUUCCGCCUUUUAA
rnacentral:lncRNA from 1 species